rnacentral:rRNA from 1 species
UACGAAGGGGGCUAGCGUUGCUCGGAAUCACUGGGCGUAAAGCGCACGUAGGCGGAUUGCUAAGUCAGGGGUGAAAUCCUGGAGCUCAACUCCAGAACUGCCUUUGAUACUGGCGACCUUGAGUCCGGGAGAGGUGAGUGGAACUGCGAGUGUAGAGGUGAAAUUCGUAGAUAUUCGCUAGGACACCAGUGGCGAAGGCGGCUCACUGGCCCGGUACUGACGCUGAGGUGCGAAAGCGUGGGGAGCAAUCCGG